AGAAAGCCAUGGGAGACACUUAAAAGUUCUGCAGCGCACCUCGCUGACACAGCCUUUACAGGGAUUUGCUGCCUUAGAAUGAGCAGCUGAACUUGGGAAGGUCACAUUGUAAUGCAGGCAGCGGUGAACCCUGAAGCUGGAGGAGCUGAUGUGAGACUAAACACUGUCAUAAAUCCAGUCGCUGAGUGGAAGGCCAAAGGCAAUGUUGUUCCUAUAGUGGAGACAGUACCUAGAAUAACAAUCGAGACAUUUCAGGUCUGUUCUUUGGAAUAUCAUACAGGAAAGAACAACAAAUUUACCCUGCUACACCAUUUUACUUUCCUGUUUUUCUCAUCAGAAGUGACCAGGAACUAAAACAAGAAAGGGGGUAAACUGAGGCUCGUGGAGAUGCCUGCUGUGCUGGAGAGGUGAGAGAAGACCAGAGGGACAGUCUCAGGGCCAUGUGUCCCCAUCUCCUGGUUAUGACUGCAGAUCCCUCCCUGGCUUUGCCUCCAACCAGUUAUGACUGACAGAACCCAAUCUGUCACCAGAUUUGUCACUGCGAAUUCCAGUCAUCUUCCUCCCAAAUGUCUUCAAGCCUGUGCAGAUUUUAUCCCAACGUCUCAAGGAUACAUCCUGUGAUGACCUCAAGUGCUCACCUGGGACAGCUCACAUCAGCUACAAGAAUUUACUAUUUGUAGCAAGCAUCAUCUUACCCACUGGCUCUGUGAAAGGAAAGGAACCCAACCCCCAUAAACACCAGUUAACAACAGUGCAUGGGUUUCCUGUGGACCUGCCCUAACCCCACUUCCUGCUUCUUGUUUUUUACUUCCCUGACUCUGCUGAGCACCCUAUCCCUACCCGGCCAACUCCUAACAAACAGGAAUUGCAUUGAGCUCAUUCUACAUUCCUUUCCCUAGUAGAACAGCACACUGUAGAUUAAAAUAUGUCCAUAUGCCA